AGAGGAGCAACAGCAAGGCACAAGGAUUACUACACUGAGCAUGAUGUCCCCCAGGCUCAUCCAUGUUGUAGCGUGUGCCAGGGUUUCCCUCCCUGUUAAGGGUGUCGCCAGGGAGGUCCCGGGAUCUUAGGAGCCACAGAGGGCCGAUCAGGAUGAACAAACGUCAGUCGGAGCCCCAGUGAUGCACUGCGGGAUCCCUGUCUCAGUCCUGCCUAGAUGAUGUGCAGGCCUCGGCAAAGUGCGGAGCUGCCUCGGCCUGCAGAGGUCCAAAUCACCUCCUCAUUUAGAGGGACUAUGUCUCUAGAGAGAAGAAGACAUGCCAAAAACGAAAACCUCACAGGAGCUUUUUGUCCACUUGCAAGCGAAGUACAGACGUGUUUGAGACGGUGGAUGGACUUUUUUUUUUUUCCUUUUCUCUCUUUCCAAAAUCCGGACACACCAUGGCCCAGUGACGGAGAAGAAGUUGAGGACCUGGCAAGGAUCUUCUUUCUUAGGAGUCGUGGAGGGCUGACCAGUCUCAAUAAAGCACCGGGGAGCCCACGUGACCCAGCAUCUGGGUGGCAGCUUGUGGACAAUCUGCAGCUCAUCUGGAUCACACAGCUCAGCUGAACUCACAGCUGGAGGCCCAGCACUGCCCAGGGGCUGGCGGCCAUCCUGUUUGGGUGGGGCUCUGCAGGAUGGGGAACCACACGACGGUCUCCCUGGGAGCCUGGGAAAAGGGAGGGUCCACAGAUUACAAGGGGACAAGAGCCUGUUGGACAAAAAUGACCGAGUGGGAAGCUGCCUAGCUCUGACCAGGUCUGGGAACACAUUGGGAUUGGAAGUCAUCUAAAUAUAGCCUGUUUAUAGUCUGUGAUCUGACUUUCUCAGGCACUGUUUGUAUGAGAGCUGGUAACUACAGCACAGUUUUUCUAAACUGGUCAUUUUCUACACUAACUUUUUAUUUGCAUUUGAAAUGAUUUUUAUUAUUGGCACCAGAGAAUUAAAACCUCAGACUAUGGCUGUGGCUGAAAGCUACGCACAGCUUUCCAUAACAUCUUAAUUUAUCAGCCUGUUUGGGUGUUUGAACAUUUAAAGCAAGCAGGAUAAAAGAAUCUGAAGGGAUUGCUUCUUUUCACAUCUCAUCAUUCAUCCGACUUUGUGUUUAACUGUUCAGUUCAGUUCACUGAAUGUCUGUAUUAAUGCUUCACUCAUCCACAGAGGUGUAAAUAUGAAUGACAGUGUGUGCCCAUUCAAAGGCACAGUGGGAAGAAGAUAAUCCCAUAGUCUUGGGACCAUAGGGCCACCAAAUACCUGCACCACAAAGGAGUAAAGAGACUUAGUAGUCUCUUUAGCCAUCGCUGCAGCCAUUCCCCAGGUUUCAGGAAUCAACGUCUUCAUUUGCUUUCAUUCUUUCUCUUACUCAGUGGUCCCCUCAACCACGGCCAUGGCUAUCUCUGAGAAUCCCCUGGGCAGAUUUUCAAAGUUCCAUGCCCAGCCAUGCCCAGGAUGCACCCCAGACCAGUCAUCAGGUCCCGACCCGUGGGGUGGCUCUGCGAAAGCUCCCUGGUGGAUUCUCAAGUUGUACUGGGUGGAGACUGCCGCCUAGCAGGCCAUAGCACAGGGAACUCCAGAGCUAAUCUAACCCUGCAGAUAGGGAACAAAAGCAACAAAACAUUUUAAAAUAAAAUAACGGAGC
ensembl:lncRNA